GGAGCAGGUGGUAUGAUUUCCUUCACUGUGGGGUCAAAGGGAUUGUUGAGGGUGUUAUUGUUGGCGAGCUUGAGGUAACUUCAGGAAUAUGGCCCAUAUAACAGAACAUACUUCAAUGGAGACAGUUUGUGCAUCUAAAGAGAAAGAUCAAAAUUCACUCAGAUCCAUUACUCGAUGCAUAAAAAUUGUAGCUUUCAUAAUUUCUCAUAUAGUACUCCCUUUCAUUUGGCACACAUGUACAACUCAAUCCAUAAAUGAGAAAGUCUUAUGUAAUUUUUGGUAUGUCAAUUUUGCUUAAUACAUAAGAAGUAUGUACUCCGUGUUUGGAACUUUCAUAGGUAAAUUUUUGGGGUUGGCUGUUAUUUUGAUUUUGGAUUUUUAAAUUGGCAUUGUCCUA
rnacentral:lncRNA from 1 species